UCCGGCAGUGAUGGCGAGAAGGUCACACCCGUUCCCAUACCGAACACGGAAGUUAAGCUUCUCAGCGCCGAUGGUAGUUGGGGCACGCGCCCCUGUGAGAGUAGGACGUUGCCGGGC
rnacentral:rRNA from 1 species